CCUACGGGAGGCAGCAGUGGGGGAUAUUGCACAAUGGGGGAAACCCUGAUGCAGCGACGCCGCGUGGGUGAAGAAGCGUUUCGGUGUGUAAAGCUCUAUCAGCAGGGAAGAAAAUGACGGUACCUGAAGAAGAAGCCCCGGCUAACUACGUGCCAGCAGCCGCGGUAAUACGUAGGGGGCAAGCGUUAUCCGGAUUUACUGGGUGUAACGGGGGCGCAGACGGCGAUGCAAGCCUGAAGUGAAAGCCCGGGGCCCAACCCCGGGACUGCUCUUGAAACUGCGUGGCUGGAGUGCAGGAGGGGCAAGCGGAAGUCCUGGUGUAGCGGUGAAAUGCGUAGAUAUCAGGAGGAACACCAGUGGCGAAGGCGGCUUGCUGGACUGCAACUGACGUUGAGGCCCGAAAGCGUGGGGAGCAAACAGGAUUAGAUACCCCUGUAGUC
rnacentral:rRNA from 1 species